UUCCAGACUCCUACGGGAGGCAGCAGUGAGGAAUAUUGGUCAAUGGGCGAGAGCCUGAACCAGCCAAGUCGCGUGAAGGAUGACGGCCCUACGGGUUGUAAACUUCUUUUGUCAGGGAGCAAUUGGGUCCACGCGUGGGCUUAGCGAGAGUACCUGAAGAAAAAGCAUCGGCUAACUCCGUGCCAGCAGCCGCGGUAAUACGGAGGAUGCGAGCGUUAUCCGGAUUUAUUGGGUUUAAAGGGUGCGUAGGCGGAAUAUCAAGUCAGCGGUAAAAAUUCGGGGCUCAACCCCGUCGUGCCGUUGAAACUGUCGGACUAGAGACGGCGAGAAGUACGCGGAAUGCGCGGUGUAGCGGUGAAAUGCAUAGAUAUCGCGCAGAACUCCGAUUGCGAAGGCAGCGUACCGGCGCCGGACUGACGCUGAGGCACGAAAGCGUGGGUAUCGAACAGGAUUAGAUACCCCCGUAU
rnacentral:rRNA from 1 species